GCGUAGGUGGGCUAGUAAGUCCGUGGUGAAAUCUCCAAGCUUAACUUGGAAACUGCCGUGGAUACUAUUAGUCUUGAAUAUUGUGGAGGUAAGCGGAAUAUGUCAUGUAGCGGUGAAAUGCUUAGAUAUGACAUAGAACACCGAUAGCGAAGGCAGCUUGCUACACAAUCAUUGACACUGAGGCACGAAAGCGUGGGGAUCAAACAGGAUUAGAUACCCUGGUAGUCCACGCCCUAAACGAUGAUUACUCGACAUACGCGAUACACAGUGUGUGUCUGAGCGAAAGCAUUAAGUAAUCCACCUGGGAAGUACGACCGCAAGGUUGAAACUCAAAGGAAUUGG
rnacentral:rRNA from 1 species